rnacentral:rRNA from 1 species
CUGCAACUCGCCUGCAUGAAGCUGGAAUUGCUAGUAAUCGCGGAUCAGCAAGCCGCGGUGAAUACGUUCCCGGGCCUUGUACACACCGCCCGUCACACCAUGAGAGUCGGGAACACCCGAAGUCCGUAGUCUAACCGCAAGGGGGGCGCGGCCGAAGGUGGGUCCGGUAAUUGGGGUGAAGUCGUAACAAGGUAAC